AUAUAAGCACUCGAUCUAGAACAACGCGCUGAAAAUGAAAUUUCUCGUAAUCUCUUUGUUUGCAGUGUGUUGCAUCAGUUGUUGUGUGGCUGAGUACAACAAACAGCAGUUGCGUCAAAUAUUGGGCAUUGCUAGAAAUUGUUACCAAAAAAUCGGCAUACCUACAGAUUCCAACGUGGUCGAACGAAUUACUUUCCAGCAAAAUGUGACUUACAACGAAGAAGAGCUAAAAUACAUACUGUGCUUCCAACAAGAGGCUGGCUGGUUUGACGUCGAUGACAAUUUCGUGCUGGAACCAAUUGUUGAUUUUUGUAUGCAGAAUAAUGCAGUUGAUCGAGGACAAGUAAAGGAAUCCAUCAAUAAGUGUAUCAUUAGGUCUAAUGGAUUGGUUUUAAUCGAGAAAGCUCGCAAAUUUUACGAUUGUUUCUACGAAAAUAAACAAUUCUUGUUUUAAAUGAC